AGGCGGGGCAAGUGGAGACGGCCACCGCAGGGUUGGCGGACUUGAGAAGGAGCAAAGAUGGCGGAGUGAGGCACGUCGCAGCUCGCUGGCCUUUGGGCCGGGGGGCGGGCGGCCCCCGGGCGCUCGAGUGCUUCUUCUGGCCAGUGCGAGGUUUUGAAUCAAAACGGUCUUGUCUUCAACCAGAAGAGAUUAUUCAAGUUCAGUUUGGAAUUAAGGUAUUUCUGUGUUGUCUCCUGAGUGAGGUUGUCUUGCUCCAAUUAUUGGGCCACCUUCCCCAUUAAAAUGUGGAUAUCUCUUCUCUACACAUUACCUCUGUGAUUUGGAUUGGAAAAGGCUGCUUUUCUUUUCGUUCCACCUUCUCAGAUUCAACACAGAGAAGCUCCUGGGAUGCAUUCAUCCUGCCAACUUCUCCAGGAAAAAAGAGGCAACUGACAUGCAUCUUCUGCUGCUCUUUGCUUAAUCACAAAGAAAUUAUUUUACAUGCUAAAGGCCGGUACCUAAUUUAAAGCAGGUGCUUAAAUGGUGAUAUCUGUGAGUUCUUUACAUUUUGUUCCAAACAAGAAAACUAAAUAAAUAGCAAGUAUGGAUGACA
rnacentral:lncRNA from 1 species